AGUGGCAGAGUGAGGGAAGGAAGGGAUGACUGGUGACAGAGUGAGGGAAUGACUGGUGACAGAGGGGGUGACUAGUGACCGAGUGAGGGAGGGAGUGGGUGACUAGUGACAGAGUGAGGAAGGGGGUGACACAGUGAUAGUCACCCCAUUCCUCCCUCUGUCACUAAUCACCACCUCCCUCACUCUCACUAGUCACCCCUUCCCUCCCUCACUCUGUCACUAGUCACACCCUCCCUCUCUCUGUCACUAGUCACACCCUUACUCACUGUCACUAGUCACACCCUCUCUCUGUCACUAGAGUGAGGG